rnacentral:rRNA from 1 species
UACGGGGGGGGCAAGCGGUUGUUCGGAAUUACUGGGCGUAAAGGGCUCGUAGGCGGGUUGCUAAGUCAGGGGUGAAAUCCUGGGAGCUCAACUCCAGAACUGCCUUUGAUACUGAGGAUCUUGAGUUCGGGAGAGGUGAGUGGAACUGCGAGUGUAGAGGUGAAAUUCGUAGAUAUUCGCAAGAACACCAGUGGCGAAGGCGGCUCACUGGCCCGAUACUGACGCUGAGGCACGAAAGCGUGGGGAGCAAACAGG